ACACACCCACACACACAACGAACUGAGUACACACAAUUAAGGAUAAACAAUACAACGCCCGCCACCCCUUGACUCAGUGCAGGCACGGUACCAUGCUACCAGGAAGACCAACUAAUUUCUCCAGCGCCGUUCCAUGGUUCUUCGGCCUGGAGCUAAGCAGAUGCUCCUAACCCUAAAAAACAGUGCACUGUUUACCAACUAGCCAUCCCUCGGAGACAAAAGAGACAGAACCAAGCACAUGUGGCACUCUUUAUAGUGCUGGAGGGCUGGGGGGUCCAGCCCAGACUAAGGACACCACCCAUUCCUGCACGUUGAAAUGCAGCUACCUGAGAAUGGCCAGAUACCGCACGACCUGCCUCUUGGAAGCACGAAAUCCUCGGUCGCCGGGACUCACAGAAAGAACAGCCCAGAGUGAUUAUCGAAUAAUUACGUGCCUUUGAAGGAGCAGGCAAUUGAAGAAGAUUCUGUGCACAGUGAAAUGACAAAUAACAGAACGAAGGUGAUUGGGGGACUCACGUUGUAGUUCAGGACAGACUGGAGAAUUCACCCUUCCCAAAAUCACCAGUCCCGCCAUCGUAGAAGCAAACCAUAAACACUGGAUCA